rnacentral:rRNA from 1 species
AACGGCCGCGGUAUCUUGACCGUGCAAAGGUAGCGCAAUCACUUGUCUUUUAAAUGAAGACCUGUAUGAAUGGCAUAACGAGGGCUUAACUGUCUCCUUUUUCCUAUCAAUGAAAUUGAUCUCCCCGUGCAGAAGCGGGGAUAAAAACAUAAGACGAGAAGACCCUAUGGAGCUUAAAACGCAAGAACAGAACAUAUUCCUUCACAUCAUCAAAAAAUGAAAACAAUUGUAAAUCUGUUCAAAUGUUUUUGGUUGGGGCGACCGCGGAGUAUAAUAAAACCUCCAUGAGGAAUAAAGGUAUUCCUUUUCAUUCAAGAGUGACAACUCUAAAAAACAGAAUUUCUGACCGUUUUGAUCCGGCAAAGCCGAUCAACGGACCGAGUUACCCUAGGGAUAACAGCGCAAUCCUCUUCUAGAGUCCAUAUCGACAAGGGGGUUUACGACCUCGAUGUUGGAUCAGGACAUCCUAAU